CCGUUGGUUUCAAAAUUAGGCAUUGACUCUGCCAAGUGCAAUAUUUAGGGCUACCUCCUUAUGACGCACCUUGCCCAUAAGGGACAACUACUCCCAUCUAGGUGUGAAAACAUGAGGGUUCAUUUUCUAAGCAAAUUUAGGUCAACUAAACUUACACCAAUACACGGAAACUAUUUCGGAAAAUGCAUAAUUCUCGACAUGGAAGAUAGAGGGCCAGUCAACCUAUAUCACGAAACCUACUAGUCAUCCUAGCUUUGCAAAUUCUUUCUUUCUGGCUCAAGACUUCAAGAUAGGUAGAAGUGCGCGGCGCGAUUAAAACUCGAAGUGUUAGUUGAUUAGAAAAAUGUGUGAAUUUUAAGUAACUCUUUUUCCUUAUUUUUUAGUGUUGGUGGAGAUAGUUGAAGAAAGCUAUUGAAAGAUUAUUUUAAAAGAAAGUUUGAAGUGCAGUAUUAGUUAAAGGAUACUGUGUGAUUAAGCCUAGCAACACGUUCCUCGUGGAUUGUGGGACACGGAUUACUACGGAAAAAGGCCAAAAUUGGUCUUUUUCCGUCUAUUUGCGAGUUUCGACAAGGAAGACCGACGCUAAGCUGGACCACCGACAAAUAGGAUCUCUCCAAGACCAAAUAUACCCCUGAGCCAGAGAUCAACCCUGCUUGUACUCCGUUGGAGACAAUUGCAGAAGAGGGAUUACGCCAAUCGUCCGAGUUGUCGGGGCUUCCAGAAAUCGCCAUCAUCCAGAAGGUAUCGAGUCCUCCAGUAAACGAGCGAGCGGCCAUUGUGGAAGGCAUUGUUUGACGCCAUUUUGGAACGCCAUUGGUGUUCGGAAUACGCCAUUGCUUAACGUCUCCCCCCCCCCCGGCCACUUGUCGUCGAACGUUCCGCUUAUUCCCGUUAUCCCAGUGGGGCACAGGAUCGUGCUUCCGUCCAUACCCGAGGCCAACAGUUCCCGAAGACAUCCGUGAGGUCCCAAUCCCGGAAAACCGUAAGUCGCGCUGGUUAGAUUGAGUAGAUAAUAAGCAUGCCAAAACUGUAUAUAUGUGCGUUUAGUUAAGUAUAACGUGAUCACGUAGAGGCAGGAUAGAUAGGUCAAAAUCCUUGA